rnacentral:rRNA from 1 species
GACGAACGCUGGCGGCGUGCUUAACACAUGCAAGUCGAACGGAAGGGCCCUGCUUUUGUGGGGUGCUCGAGUGGCGAACGGGUGAGUAACACGUGAGUAACCUGCCCUUGACUUUGGGAUAACUUCAGGAAACUGGGGCUAAUACCGGAUAGGAGCUCCUGCUGCAUGGUGGGGGUUGGAAAGUUUCGGCGGUUGGGGAUGGACUCGCGGCUUAUCAGCUUGUUGGUGGGGUAGUGGCUUACCAAGGCUUUGACGGGUAGCCGGCCUGAGAGGGUGACCGGCCACAUUGGGACUGAGAUACGGCCCAGACUCCUACGGGAGGCAGCAGUGGGGAAUAUUGCACAAUGGGCGGAAGCCUGAUGCAGCAACGCCGCGUGCGGGAUGACGGCCUUCGGGAUGUAAACCGCUUUCGCCUGUGACGAAGCGUGAGUGACGGUAAUGGGUAAAGAAGCACCGGCUAACUACGUG